GUCCUUGUAGCUCAAUGGGUAGCGCGUUGGACUUCUAAUUCAAAGGUCGUGGGUUUGAAUCCCACCUGAGAUG
rnacentral:tRNA from 1 species